UCCAGGCCAGGGCUAAUUUUGGCAGCAGCAGCAGUGACGUGGGACUGCUGAGCCCUGGUGUCCCAGCCCUGGCACCCACACACCCAGCGGGGCAGGGAGGGGGGCACGGCCAAGCCACGGCCCCUGUGCCCUCACCAGGACUCACAAUGGAAGCCAGGACAGGUUUGCAGUUCAUAUAAACAGCCCUGAGCUGGGAUUCUGGACAAAACCAGGAUUGGAGCAAGGUUCUCAGCCAGGGGAGGCUCCUUGGUGCUCCGAGGGAUGAAUCUGGUGGCUCUGCAGGCAGCACCUGUCCUGCUGCACCUGGGGAGAUUCAGAACCCUCAGAAAUCCAGAUCAACACGUCCAAAAGGAAAUUUGCAGGACAGCUCCUGAGGAAUUGCUUCUGGACCCUGGCCAUGAAAAAUGAAGCCCAAACACACGGAAUAAGCAAGGUUUUGGAACAAUGAAUGUGGGAAGAGAAGGAGCCUGAGAAACUCCACAUCCACUGCUCCCAGCAGAGCUCAGAGACAAGGCUGGAAAAUCGCAUCCUCCCAAAUUCUCCAGCCAGGGGUUCAUCUGAAAAUAUCUGAGAACUGAUUUAUCUUCAUCUGGGGUUCCAGAGGAAAUGCAUCCUGGGAGGUUCCUCGGGCAUCUUUGCACUCGGUAAAGUUCAAGUGGACAAGAGAAGGGAACAGAGGGCUUGAGACACUGAAUUACUAAAAGGUUCCUGGAAAUAUGUGGCCAAGAAGAGAAGAACCAACCUGUGAAAGGUGCUGCAUUUACAGGAAUUAAAUCUCUUUUCUCACAGAGGGAAAAGCUGCACUGCCAUGUUUUGACAGAAGAAAACUGACAUGGAAGGAAGGUGUUGAAAACUUCCAGUCAGGGGAAGCUCUGGAAUCCUUUUGUGGUCUCAAAGCUGGAACAAUCCCUUUGGAAAUCACAGUCCUAGAACCGCUGUAAUCUUUGUCAUGGAUUUUCUAUGACAAUUUCCCACUGCUUUCAGUCCAUGGAAUAGCAUUGUAGGAGAUUGGGAAUAUCUGUUCCUCUGAAGAACCUCUCCUUCUUAUUCUUCAUAUAAAUAAAUCACUUAGAGAAAAAAAAAAAAAAAAAAUU
rnacentral:lncRNA from 1 species